UACAGAGGUCCCAAGCGUUGUUCGGAUUCAUUGGGCGUAAAGGGUGCGUAGGUGGCGCCGUAAGUCGGGUGUGAAAUUUCGGAGCUUAACUCCGAAACUGCAUUCGAUACUGCGGUGCUUGAGGACUGGAGAGGAGACUGGAAUUUAUGGUGUAGCAGUGAAAUGCGUAGAGAUCAUAAGGAAGACCAGUGGCGAAGGCGGGUCUCUGGACAGUUCCUGACGCUGAGGCACGAAGGCCAGGGGAGCAAACGGG
rnacentral:rRNA from 1 species